CCUACGGGCGGCAGCAGUGAGGAAUAUUGGUCAAUGGACGAGAGUCUGAACCAGCCAAGUAGCGUGAAGGAUGACUGCCCUAUGGGUUGUAAACUUCUUUUAUAUGGGAAUAAACUGUUCCACGUGUGGGAUUUUGUAUGUACCAUAUGAAUAAGGAUCGGCUAACUCCGUGCCAGCAGCCGCGGUAAUACGGAGGAUCCGAGCGUUAUCCGGAUUUAUUGGGUUUAAAGGGAGCGUAGGUGGAUUGUUAAGUUAGUUGUGAAAGUUUGCGGCUCAACCGUAAAAUUGCAGUUGAAACUGGCAGUCUUGAGUACAGUAGAGGUGGGCGGAAUUCGUGGUGUAGCGGUGAAAUGCUUAGAUAUCACGAAGAACUCCGAUUGCGAAGGCAGUUCACUGGACUGCAACUGACACUGAGGCUCGAAAGUGUGGGUAUCAAACAGGAUUAGAUACCCGAGUAGUC
rnacentral:rRNA from 1 species